UUUUAAUAAAAGCAAGAAUAGGUUUGUCCUAUUCUUGUAAGCUGUUUUGAGACAGAGAAUUAGUAAAGUAAACUUGUGACUUUUUCUAAUUUUCUUUCCAUUUAAUGUCUUGAAUUCAGAAACUUCUCUUUUGGGGCAAAAGGAACUUGUUUAACACUAACUACAAUAAUUUAUCCAAGUUACAAGGGACUGUUUUGGUACUAGCAGGACACCAGAACAUUCUUGGAAAAGUCUGAAUUUCAGAGUAGUGUCCCAACUGAUCCAGGUGUCUCUCAAAGGCCAGAAGAGCUCACAGGAUCUUGUCAAGGAAAAGAAAGAAAUAUUCCUGGAAUCGCCAACUCUAGAGCCGAGAUGGAAAAAAAAGCAGAUGACUUCACCAUAAGGAGGGAGAAAUGACCUUCAGACGGAUAGAUAACAAAGGGCUGUUUGUGUUUAUGUAUAAUUAACUGGCUUGCACAGUGAAGCAGGUAGGUGUUACUCUGCUGCAUAUAUUGCAUGUAUGCAGCUCAUUCAGGAGGCCAGAAAGGGUGC
rnacentral:lncRNA from 1 species